GACGAACGCUGGCGGCGUGCUUAACACAUGCAAGUCGAACGGAAAGGCCCUGCUUUUGUGGGGUGCUCGAGUGGCGAACGGGUGAGUAACACGUGAGUAACCUGCCCUUGACUUUGGGAUAACUUCAGGAAACUGGGGCUAAUACCGGAUAGGAGCUCCUGCUGCAUGGUGGGGGUUGGAAAGUUUCGGCGGUUGGGGAUGGACUCGCGGCUUAUCAGCUUGUUGGUGGGGUAGUGGCUUACCAAGGCUUUGACGGGUAGCCGGCCUGAGAGGGUGACCGGCCACAAUGGGACUGAGAUACGGCCCAGACUCCUACGGGAGGCAAGAGUGGGGAGUAUUACACAGUGGGCGGAAGCCUGAUGCAACAACGCCGCGUGCGGGAUGACGGCCUUCGGGUUGUAAACCGCUUUCGCCUGUGACGAAGCGUGAGUGACGGUAAUGGGUAAAGAAGCACCGGCUAACUACGUG
rnacentral:rRNA from 1 species